UUUUUUUCUCUUCUCUCUUUUUUUCUCUCACAUUUUUUACUUUUUUUCUCUCACUUUUUCUCUUUUUUGGCUUUUACUUUUUUCCUUUCUCUCGAACAACCAAAUAAGAUGCAGAUUGGAUCAAGCACAGAUGCGAAUGACCUCAAGUAUGAUAAUCGCAAUGAACAAUUGGAGCACGUGGUGAAUAUUGAUGGAUGGUGGUGAGCGACAACGGAAGGGAUGAUGAUGCAGCAGUGGU
rnacentral:lncRNA from 1 species